CUGAUCAUCAUCAAAUAUCAAAUUAAAUAAGUAUGAAGAGAAAUUAUUAGUAAUAUGUUUCAACCAUUUUUAUCCCCACAACACAAGCGAGACGCCUCGAUUCUCGUGCAUACUUAUCUCUCUCUCUCAUAUAUAUCUCUAUAUUAAUGUCUUACUCUUUCACAUUUUACAUUUAAGCCUCUAAUUUCCCCUCUAAAAAUCUUGAAGCACCAAAUUUUUAGCACUUGUACGUUUCCCAAAGAAAAAAAAGAAGAAGAAGCAUUUCACGUUCACCAACGAUAAUGGAUAUGAAUUCUUCUUGUGAGAAGUGGCUUGGCUUCUCACUUUCCAAUAUCAACAACUUGCCACCUUCUACUACUAAUUCUUCACAACUCUCCAUCUUCCAAGCUUUCAACUCCAACCCUAAUAGUUGGGAUGUGAGGCAAAAUGAAAAUGGUGCACCAAAGCUUGAGAAUUUGUUGGGAUCUUCUUAUUGUGAGAGUAAUACAACUACUAGUUGUGAAUAUGGGUCAGAGUUGAAGAGGAUAGCAGCUACUUUUCUACCUACCUUUACUGAUGAUCACAAAGACAAGUUGCCUCUAAUUGUCACUCAACCUAAGAAGCCACACGAAUCAUUUGGACAACGCACUUCUAUUUACAGAGGUGUUACUAGACAUAGAUGGACAGGAAGAUAUGAAGCUCAUUUGUGGGAUAAUAGUUGUAGAAGACAAGGACAAAGUAGAAAAGGGAGACAAGUUUACUUAGGUGGUUAUGAUAAAGAAGAGAAAGCAGCUAGAGCUUAUGAUCUUGCUGCCCUCAAGUAUUGGGGUCCGACCACUACCACUAACUUUCCGGUAUCAAACUAUGAGAGGGAGCUUGAAGAAAUGAAGAACAUGACAAGACAGGAAUUUGUUGCAUCUCUUAGAAGGAAAAGUAGUGGAUUUUCAAGAGGAGCUUCUAUCUAUAGAGGUGUCACACGACACCACCAACAUGGUAGAUGGCAAGCAAGAAUCGGUAGAGUGGCUGGAAACAAAGAUCUAUAUCUUGGAACUUUUAGCACCCAAGAGGAAGCAGCAGAGGCUUAUGAUAUCGCUGCAAUCAAAUUCAGAGGACUAAAUGCAGUAACAAAUUUCGACAUUAGUCGUUACGAUGUUAAAAGUAUUGCUAGUAGCAAUCUCCCUGUUGGAGGAAUGAGUAACAAAUCCAAAAGCUCAUCGGAUGAAAGUACUAAAAAUGUCGAAAAUCGACCCAACGAUAUUUCCUCUGCUCCUAAUUUCCCAUCACAGAAUCCGAGUAUGGUCAACUUAGGUUUCGGAUUGCCUAUAAAGCAAGAUGCAUCCGAUUUCUGGUCAAGCCUUGGAUACAAUAACGAUCAAAACAAAAAUGGUUCGUUAUUUCAGGGUACAACUAUGAAUGCACAAGGUACUACAUUCUUCAGCAAUGAAGUCAACAAUAGUAAUGUCAUGUUCAAUGAACAAGGGUACUAUAAUCAUGAUCAACAGCAACAAAGUGGCGGUUCUAGUAGUGAAAUAAGUAUGGCUUUAAAUAGCAAUAUUGCCACUACAACUACUACUAUUGAUAGCUCUAGUUUUGGUAAUUGGAUGACACCUUCUCUUCAUUCAUUCCAAAGUAGUGCAAACAAUAACCUAGCACCAUUUCAUACCCCAAUAUUUGGCAUGGAAUAAUGGUAAGCUAUAUUGCUCGGAUUUUUCAAACAAUUUAACAGGUGUUGAAUUCGUCAAAAAUAAUGUAUUUUUGAAGAAGGAAGAGUCUGAGCAACUAAGAUGGCAAGGGUAGGGAAAUGAAGGGACAAGUUUUGAUUUUUACCUUUUUUUGUGUGUUUGAAUGGGGUUUUAGUUUGUCACCUACCAGAGGAGAAGCUAAGUGGAUUGGUCAAAAAAGUGAAAAUUGCUUUUUGCAUGGGCAAAGAAUGGGACGUACAAUCAUUUCACAGCAAAUAAAGCAAGGGGACCCGGUCCUCUGCAGAGUAUGCUCGUCUAGGGUCAUAUGCUAUACAAUUGUAAAGCUGUAUGCGUCAGAAGGUUGGUGAGACGCCAGUGUCCUGAACCAAUCACAACGAACGAGGUUGCUUGUACGUUGGACAAUAGCUCUUCAUAGUUGAUAUAUUCAACAUACAAACAACAAAUUAUUCAUUCAUUCAAAGAGAGACUUUCAAGCUUCAAAACAGCAGAGACCUGAUAGAGUGUUUAUUGCUUUUGUACCAGCUGUUACUUUGGGUGCUUGUAAUCGUGCUUAUAUUGUCAGAAUCAUGUCGUUUGUGAUAGAAACAUUUCAAGCUUGUGUGAAUCAUUGUAAGAACUUAGUUGUGAGUAAUUUAGUGUCUU